rnacentral:rRNA from 1 species
UCCGUAGGGGGCUAGCGUUGUCCGGAAUCAUUGGGCGUAAAGAGCGUGUAGGCGGUCCGGUAAGUCCGCUGUGAAAGUCGGGGGCUCAACCCUCGAAUGCCGGUGGAUACUGUCGGGCUAGAGUGCGGAAGAGGCGAGUGGAAUUCCUGGUGUAGCGGUGAAAUGCGCAGAUAUCAGGAGGAACACCUAUUGCGAAGGCAGCUCGCUGGGACGUAACUGACGCUGAGACGCGAAAGCGUGGGGAGCAAACAGG